rnacentral:rRNA from 1 species
GACGAACGCUGGCGGCGUGCUUAACACAUGCAAGUCGAACGGAAAGGCCCUGCUUUUGUGGGGUGCUCGAGUGGCGAACGGGUGAGUAACACGUGAGUAACCUGCGCUGGACGUUGUGAUAACUUCAGGAAACUGGGGCUAAUACCGGAUAGGAGCGCCUGCUGCAUGGGGGGGGUUGGAAAGUAUCGGCGGUGGUGGAUGGACUCGGGGCUUAUCAGCUUGUGGGUGGAGUAGUGGCUUACCAAGGCUUUGACGGGUAGCCGGCCUGAGAGGGUGACCGGCCACCUGGGGACUGAGAUACGGCCCAGACUCCUACGGGAGGCAGCAGUGGGGAAUAUUGCACAAUGGGCGGAAGCGUGAUGCAGCAACGCCGCGUGCGGGAUGACGGCCUUCGGGUUGUAAACCGCUUUCGCCUGUGACGAAGCGUGAGUGACGGUAAUGGGUAAAGAAGCACCGGCUAACUACGUG